rnacentral:rRNA from 1 species
AAAGCGUGCGCAGGCGGUUAUGUAAGACAGUUGUGAAAUCCCCGGGCUCAACCUGGGAACUGCAUCUGUGACUGCAUAGCUAGAGUACGGUAGAGGGGGAUGGAAUUCCGCGUGUAGCAGUGAAAUGCGUAGAUAUGCGGAGGAACACCGAUGGCGAAGGCAAUCCCCUGGACCUGUACUGACGCUCAUGCACGAAAGCGUGGGGAGCAAACAGGAUUAGAUACCCCAGU